rnacentral:rRNA from 1 species
AUGGCGCCUCGCCAGACCCCGGCCGAAGCUUGGUAUUCGCCUGCCUUGGAUUCGCCGAACGUGUCGGAGGCGAGCCUUGCCCGGAUGCGCCGGAUGGUGGCGGCGCAAGGCAUCAAUGGGGCGCAGGUGUUCAAGGCCGUCUCCGCCCCUCCUGAGGCCCAAGGGAGCACCUCCUACCCGCUCUUCGUAAGCGCCAUUGCUUCCGGUCUGGUACCUCCUUUCUCUGAGUUCUUCUUCUUUGUCCUCCGCCAUUACGACCUGCAAGCUCUGCACCUCCACCCCAACUCUGUCCUUCUUCUGGCGAUCUUCUCAUAUUAUUGCGAGGCUCAUGUCGGGGUGCAGCCUUCGGUGGCCUUGCUGCGCCACUACUUCUCCCUCCGGCUCUCUCGCGGUCCUCUCUUCGUGUGCGCGAGCUUCGUCGCGUAUGGCGGCUCCAACGCCAUCUCGAAGCCCGGGAAGAGGAUUGAGAGCUUCAGGAGCAAGUGGGUCAUGGUGGAUGCUGGGCGCAUCCACCCUCGGCUGAUUCUGCCCACGGAGCAGCCCACGAGCUCCGAUGAUUGGUCUCGCACGGAACUCGUGGACCACUGCGCGAAGCCGGUGUUGGAGAAGAUGGACGCGGAUCUGAGGCCGGGGAACAUGAUGACGGCGAAGCUGACCGGCGUGUCGCUCCUAAGGGAGUUCCUAGAGCAUCAGGUGGCCCCUCUUCGCAAGUAUUCGCUCCCGCUGUGGAGGCCCCGCCUGAGCCCCGAAGUUUUGGCCGGCGGAGAUCUGACCGCGGUCCUUCAAUCUUUGGUCGGAGGGGACCUGGCGAGGCUGGAGGGCGCCCCCGUACCCCUGUUUCUCCGAGAUGAUUGGGAGAAGGUGGUUGACUCCAUGCCCGUCUUUAAUGGAGACGGGCCCAUGCCUGUGGUGGCUCCCGAGGACCCGGCGGCCCAGGCGACGGUGAACGUGUCCUCCGGCGACUCCAGCGAAGAGGAAGAAGAAGAGGAGCGGGAAGGGGGGCCUGGCUCCGAGGCUACCGACGGGGAGUCGAGAGCGCCUCUCCCCGGGUGCAGGUCCCGCGCUCUCCGCCUUUCGCCGAGCGACGACGAGGAUGAUGACGAGCGGGGCGGCGGGAGCUUGCCCCCGAUCUCGAAGAAGGCCAGGUCUUGGCUGGUCCCCCUCGGGUCUGCCCCGGCUCCGAGGCGAUCUGCAGACGUGCCUCCUGCUUCCGAACCUCGCGAGGCUCAUCCCAGCAGCCGGCUCUCGGGCUUCAAGUACGGCCGGAGGUUGCUCGAGCUCACGAGCGGCGACGAGUAA